GGACAAAAAUACACAAACACAUUAGGGAUACUCAGGAGUCCUGUGGAGAAUUGAGGGUCCAGUGGGGUUUCAGGAUUCCUGAGGAUGGAUGAGGGCCCCUGGGACCCCAAAGUCACCCCUCCAGUUUUGCUUUGCAGCCUCCAGGAAGCACCAGGAAAGGGCCACCCCGCAGCCCCCGGCACCCCUGGUGGAGGAGCCUCAGGCGACCUACAUGGAGCUGCUGGGGCCGCACAGGCAACCGUGGGAACCCAGCAACAUCUACGACAAUCUACAACAAAAGCUGUGACACUCUGGGAAGUGGGGGGCACUGGGGGGCACUGGGGGUGCCCCCUCCAUGGCUCCUGUGGUUGCCCAUCCUUCCAAGGGACGUGGUUGUGAGUCGGGGGUGGCUGCACAGGCCACCCAGAGCUCCCCAUUCCCUCUCCCAGUACCCCCAGGGGCUCCCCCAUCCCCUUUUCAGUACCUGCAGGGGCUCCCCAACCCCCAUUGGAGUGCUCCGAGUACCCCCAGUGACUUCCCCAUUCUCUCCCCACAGUGCUCCCAGUACACCCAGGGCUUCCCCAUUCCCCCUCCCACUACCCCUAUCCCAUCCUGCUGCAAAAGGGGGAGUCAGGGAGGAUCCUUUUUGAUACAUUUCUUGGACAAAAAUGAAGCACAAACAC